rnacentral:tRNA from 2 species
GCGUCUGUAGCCUAGUUGGUGAAGGCAGCACUAUAGUAUGAGUCUCAGCUUAGCUGAGGUCGGGAGUUCCACUCUCACCAGACACA